UCAUGGCUCAGGAUGAACGCUGGCGGCGUGCUUAACACAUGCAAGUCGAACGAUGAUCCUCAGCUUGCUGGGGGGAUUAGUGGCGAACGGGUGAGUAACACGUGAGUAACCUGCCCUUGACUCUGGGAUAAGCCUGGGAAACUGGGUCUAAUACCGGAUACGACCAUCUGGCGCAUGUCAUGGUGGUGGAAAGCUUUUGUGGUUUUGGAUGGACUCGCGGCCUAUCAGCUUGUUGGUGGGGUAAUGGCCUACCAAGGCGACGACGGGUAGCCGGCCUGAGAGGGUGACCGGCCACACUGGGACUGAGACACGGCCCAGACUCCUACGGGAGGCAGCAGUGGGGAAUAUUGCACAAUGGGCGCAAGCCUGAUGCAGCGACGCCGCGUGAGGGAUGACGGCCUUCGGGUUGUAAACCUCUUUCAGUAGGGAAGAAGCGUAAGUGACGGUACCUGCAGAAGAAGCGCCGGCUAACUACGUGCCAGCAGCCGCGGUAAUACGUAGGGCGCAAGCGUUAUCCGGAAUUAUUGGGCGUAAAGAGCUCGUAGGCGGUUUGUCGCGUCUGCUGUGAAAGACCGGGGCUCAACUCCGGUUCUGCAGUGGGUACGGGCAGACUAGAGUGCAGUAGGGGAGACUGGAAUUCCUGGUGUAGCGGUGAAAUGCGCAGAUAUCAGGAGGAACACCGAUGGCGAAGGCAGGUCUCUGGGCUGUAACUGACGCUGAGGAGCGAAAGCAUGGGGAGCGAACAGGAUUAGAUACCCUGGUAGUCCAUGCCGUAAACGUUGGGCACUAGGUGUGGGGGACAUUCCACGUUUCCGCGCCGUAGCUAACGCA
rnacentral:rRNA from 1 species